CAGCUUGUGUCAGGGCAGUGAUGUUGGCAGGGGCAGCCAGGCCUCCUGCAGCUCUGGGGCUCUGGGGCAGCUGCGGCCUUUGGAGCAGGCGCGGCAGGGCCCCGGCUCACAUUGCUCCGGGACCGCCCAAAAUGUGGAAAGGCAUCUGUGGUUUUCUUUUCAAAAUUAUCCUGCACACUAGUCAGGUGUAUCAGGCCUGGCAUGCAUCCUUGGCACAAGUUGUUGUCUGUCCUGCUACUGAAUUUCAACUUGUUAGCAAUUUACUGCUUGUAAAUAUUAAUCUCAGGGUGGCUUGAAGGAAUUCAUUCUGACGUGGAGGGAGUUUUUGUCAUCCAAUAAGAACCAGACCUUCAGGCCCAGAGGAGCAGAAGCAUUGGUGUGAGAGUGUUGGCAAGUGGCAUCUAUUGUUCUCAUUGCCACUUCAUCUUGGAUUUGUAUCAUGAGCUUGAUAAACCUCACACCUGCUGAUUUGAGGGAGAAGGGACUGAAGAAGGUUUGACUCCCAUCAGUGGCUUUAAGCAUUAAUGAGUUUUGGCCUCCUGAGGAGCUGAUGUGCUUUGGGUGUUCCUUCUUGUAGUUUCUGACUUGUCUAGAGUUUGUUUUUGUGGCUUUGUUUCCGUUUGUGUGUUAGAAAUGCCUCAGUUCCCAGCUCAGUGAUGUAACUGCUGUACACUAGAAGAAUCAAAUAUUAUCUUUAACUCUGCUUUACCCUUAGACAGACAAGAAUGUAGCUCAGAAGUUCACUCAUCUCCGUAAAUACAUUCCUUUACAAAAAUAUUUUGCAGAUGAAUUUUCAUAAUCAUAUGUAACUCAAUUAAGUUUUUCCUACAGAGGAAGAGAUUAUAAUUUAGUAAUGUUUCUUCUUUUCAUGAAGCUGCUGUGUUUGUUUUUCCUUUGACAUUUGAAAUGAGGACACAUAAUUUCUAAAUGUGCUCCACCUGCUCAUGAAGGAAACCUCUACAUUGUAAGCUAUUAGUAACUAGAAAUGGGCCACAUAGAAAUGUGGCAGAUUCCCAGAGUUACCUGACUACAUUCUCUUGGUGCACAUGAGCUUGAAAGCAGAAACUGUCAGUCCCAAAGCUACUGACUCAAAGCUUGGGUGUCUGUGUUUGUCAUUUCCCUGUGCUUGGUGUCAAAUUAUAUGUGUGUUUUACGGAUUAGAAACAUACUCAAAUGCUCUCUUAGAGUUCACUCAGAGAAAAAUGGUCUCAUUUUUUUCUUUAGAAAAUACAGAAUCAUGGUCUCCUUGGAGGAAUGCCAGUGCUACAAGGACGACUUCAAUGCAAUUAUGAGGGAUAUUGGAAUUUAUAUUUUAAGAUUGACAGGACCAUGAAGAAGUUCAGACAAUUUCAGGAGCAAGUCUCUGACUCCAGGCUCCAAAGCCUAUCAGAUGCUGCGUCAUUGAUUCCCAGCAGAUUAUCAGCAGUUACAACAGGGUAGCCCCAGCUACUCUGAAAUGAGGAGCAGGUGCCAGUACCUCCACAAGAAGCUGGCCCAUAUUCAGAGCUGCAUUUCUGAAUUAGACCAGCAGUGAGUGGAGUACUGGCACCAGACAUCUGCUUCAACAGAGGAACAUCUUUGAACUCAGGAUUUUUCAUUUGAACGGAAGAUUAGGUUUUUUAGGAUUUCUUAAGUUAGCAUUGAACAGUAGGCUGUGUUAGCACUUUGAAGUAGAUUAUUUCUUACAAACAUAGGAUUAGUUCAAAGAAGUUUAGUAAGUUUAAGAAAUUGAAAGAUGAUAGUAUUGAAAUUCAACAAUAAAGAAAUCUCACUGUUGGUAAUUCCUUCUCUCAGUGUUGUUUGUAUCAUAUUUGGAUUGGGUUUCUUCUGGUUGUUAGCGCUCAGGAACACAUAAUCAUGGAAUGAUUAUA